rfam:Corynebacterium sp. ATCC 6931, complete genome.
UGCGGUUACUUUCACUCGGAUCGUUCGGCACGUACCUGCCGAUGAAAGGUUUGCAU